rnacentral:rRNA from 1 species
GAGUAAUGUCUGGGAAACUGCCUGAUGGAGGGGGAUAACUACUGGAAACGGUAGCUAAUACCGCAUAACGUCGCAAGACCAAAGAGGGGGACCUUCGGGCCUCUUGCCAUCAGAUGUGCCCAGAUGGGAUUAGCUAGUAGGUGGGGUAACGGCUCACCUAGGCGACGAUCCCUAGCUGGUCUGAGAGGAUGACCAGCCACACUGGAACUGAGACACGGUCCAGACUCCUACGGGAGGCAGCAGUGGGGAAUAUUGCACAAUGGGCGCAAGCCUGAUGCAGCCAUGCCGCGUGUAUGAAGAAGGCCUUCGGGUUGUAAAGUACUUUCAGCGGGGAGGAAGGGAGUAAGGUUAAUAACCUUAUUCAUUGACGUUACCCGCAGAAGAAGCACCGGCUAACUCCGUGCCAGCAGCCGCGGUAAUACGGAGGGUGCAAGCGUUAAUCGGAAUUACUGGGCGUAAAGCGCACGCAGGCGGUCUGUCAAGUCGGAUGUGAAAUCCCCGGGCUCAACCUGGGAACUGCAUUCGAAACUGGCAGGCUGGAGUCUUGUAGAG